rnacentral:lncRNA from 1 species
GCAGGCAAUGUUCUGGACUUGUCCAGGAUGGCUAAUAAGGCAAUGGCAAAGUCACAGUAGGGUACGCAUCCUUACUUGUCAGUGGAUGCUGAUUUUCUCGCCCGCACGGUUCCAACCACUGAUGGAACCGAUAUAUAAAUGCGGUAUUUCGGUGAAGUCCGGAUGGUCGUGCGUCGGGUGAGUCAAAUACACUGAUGGAGCUGAUAUUCGCUCCGGACGGGUCGGUGGAGUUGGGACACCGACGGAACCGUCGCCCCCGCGGGGGAUUUGGCGCUGUGAGAACACCGAGCAGAACUGACGUCUUCCGAGGGGACUUGGUGAGCCGCGACACCGAGUCGAUGCCAAUGAAGGGACCUCGGGGAAGCAGGGACACUUACAGUCUGGCUGGGUCGACCCGCGGGUGCCGCGGGGAAGUUGGAUACCGAGGAGGCCGAUCUCGCUCUACAUAGCGAAUUUCGGCAAAGUCCGGAUGGCCAGCCUCUGCCCGUUGAGUUCCGGGCCCGUCCCAGGCACUCUCGGAUAGUUGAUAACUUGGUUAGUUUUUCAACUUUCCUACCUGUAGAGCUCUUGCGGAACAGGUUUAUCCCCGGCGGGACGAGUAGCCCGUCGGCACACAUGACAUGACAUGAGUACAUUGCCUAAUGAGGAAAAUUGGACUAGCGGAGCGGAUGUCAUACGUCUGCAAUCG